GACUGUGGCUCGGUGCUAAGAGUACUUGCUUUUCAUGCAGAAGGUCCCAGAUUCAAUCCCUGGCACCGUCC